GGUCAAGUGAAGAAGCGCAUACGGUGGAUGCCUUGGCAGUCAGAGGCGAUGAAAGACGUGGUAGCCUGCGAAAAGCUUCGGGGAGUCGGCAAACAGACUUUGAUCCGGAGAUCUCUGAAUGGGGGAACCCACCUAGGAUAACCUAGGUAUCUUGUACUGAAUCCAUAGGUGCAAGAGGCGAACCAGGGGAACUGAAACAUCUAAGUACCCUGAGGAAAAGAAAUCAACCGAGAUUCCCUUAGUAGUGGCGAGCGAACGGGGAUUAGCCCUUAAGCUUCAUUGAUUUUAGCGGAACGCUCUGGAAAGUGCGGCCAUAGUGGGUGAUAGCCCCGUACGCGAAAGGAUCUUUGAAGUGAAAUCGAGUAGGACGGAGCACGAGAAACUUUGUCUGAACAUGGGGGGACCAUCCUCCAAGGCUAAAUACUACUGACUGACCGAUAGUGAACCAGUACCGUGAGGGAAAGGCGAAAAGAACCCCGGAGAGGGGAGUGAAAUAGAACCUGAAACCGUAUGCGUACAAGCAGUGGGAGCCUACUUGUUAGGUGACUGCGUACCUUUUGUAUAAUGGGUCAGCGACUUAUAUUCAGUGGCAAGCUUAACCGUAUAGGGUAGGCGUAGCGAAAGCGAGUCUUAAUAGGGCGUUUAGUCGCUGGGUAUAGACCCGAAACCGGGCGAUCUAUCCAUGAGCAGGUUGAAGGUUAGGUAACACUGACUGGAGGACCGAACCCACUCCCGUUGAAAAGGUAGGGGAUGACUUGUGGAUCGGAGUGAAAGGCUAAUCAAGCUCGGAGAUAGCUGGUUCUCCUCGAAAGCUAUUUAGGUAGCGCCUCAUGUAUCACUCUGGGGGGUAGAGCACUGUUUCGGCUAGGGGGUCAUCCCGACUUACCAAACCGAUGCAAACUCCGAAUACCCAGAAGUGCCGAGCAUGGGAGACACACGGCGGGUGCUAACGUCCGUCGUGAAAAGGGAAACAACCCAGACCGCCAGCUAAGGUCCCAAAGUUGUGGUUAAGUGGUAAACGAUGUGGGAAGGCUUAGACAGCUAGGAGGUUGGCUUAGAAGCAGCCAUCCUUUAAAGAAAGCGUAAUAGCUCACUAGUCGAGUCGGCCUGCGCGGAAGAUGUAACGGGGCUCAAACCACACACCGAAGCUGCGGGUGUCACGUAAGUGACGCGGUAGAGGAGCGUUCUGUAAGCCUGUGAAGGUGAGUUGAGAAGCUUGCUGGAGGUAUCAGAAGUGCGAAUGCUGACAUGAGUAACGACAAUGGGUGUGAAAAACACCCACGCCGAAAGACCAAGGGUUCCUGCGCAACGUUAAUCGACGCAGGGUUAGUCGGUUCCUAAGGCGAGGCUGAAAAGCGUAGUCGAUGGGAAACAGGUUAAUAUUCCUGUACUUCUGGUUACUGCGAUGGAGGGACGGAGAAGGCUAGGCCAGCUUGGCGUUGGUUGUCCAAGUUUAAGGUGGUAGGCUGAAAUCUUAGGUAAAUCCGGGGUUUCAAGGCCGAGAGCUGAUGACGAGUCGUCUUUUAGAUGACGAAGUGGUUGAUGCCAUGCUUCCAAGAAAAGCUUCUAAGCUUCAGGUAACCAGGAACCGUACCCCAAACCGACACAGGUGGUCGGGUAGAGAAUACCAAGGCGCUUGAGAGAACUCGGGUGAAGGAACUAGGCAAAAUGGCACCGUAACUUCGGGAGAAGGUGCGCCGGCUAGGGUGAAGGAUUUACUCCGUAAGCCCUGGCUGGUCGAAGAUACCAGGCCGCUGCGACUGUUUAUUAAAAACACAGCACUCUGCAAACACGAAAGUGGACGUAUAGGGUGUGACGCCUGCCCGGUGCCGGAAGGUUAAUUGAUGGGGUUAGCGCAAGCGAAGCUCUUGAUCGAAGCCCCGGUAAACGGCGGCCGUAACUAUAACGGUCCUAAGGUAGCGAAAUUCCUUGUCGGGUAAGUUCCGACCUGCACGAAUGGCGUAACGAUGGCGGCGCUGUCUCCACCCGAGACUCAGUGAAAUUGAAAUCGCUGUGAAGAUGCAGUGUAUCCGCGGCUAGACGGAAAGACCCCGUGAACCUUUACUGUAGCUUUGCACUGGACUUUGAGCCUGCUUGUGUAGGAUAGGUGGGAGGCUUUGAAGCGUGGACGCCAGUUCGCGUGGAGCCAUCCUUGAAAUACCACCCUGGCAUGCUUGAGGUUCUAACUCUGGUCCGUGAUCCGGAUCGAGGACAGUGUAUGGUGGGCAGUUUGACUGGGGCGGUCUCCUCCUAAAGAGUAACGGAGGAGUACGAAGGUGCGCUCAGACCGGUCGGAAAUCGGUCG
rnacentral:rRNA from 1 species